rnacentral:lncRNA from 1 species
AUACGUUGCCGUGGGAAUGAAUGGUCCUGCUUUCAGUCCGGGCUCUGCAAGGCUUCCGACCGGCCAGCACGCUGAUCCGGGUGCCGUGCCCUGGAGUCACCCCCUGCAUCCUGCUCUCCCUCCCCGUCUAAUACAAUAAUUUAUUUGGUGGGGUUCUUUUUUUCUCUACUGAGUUUCGUGGAGCCGGCAAAGAAACACAGGCAUGAACUAGCUCCCCAAACUCAGUCCUUAAUCUGUUUGUCUUAUUCACUUAUGGAGAAAAACAGAAAGAAAAGUGACUAAAACGUUGUGUGUUUUGACACCCAAGUACUCAUGGGAAGGUGUGAUGGGCUGAAUUGUGUCCCCUCAAAAUUUACGUGUUGCAGUCCUGGUCCCCAGUCCACCUCAGAAUGUGGCCUUAUUUGGAGCCAGGGUCUUUACAGAGGUAAUUAAGUUAAAGGAGGUCCUUAGAGUGGCCCUAAUCCAGAAUGACUGAUGUCUUUAUGAGAAGAGGAGAUUAGGACACAGACCGGCGCAGAGGAAGGACCAUAGGAGGACAUCGGAGAGGCUGGCCGUCUACAGGACGAGGAGCCAGCCCUUCCCCCAGGACCCUCAGAAGGAGCUGAUUCUGCUGACAUCUUGAUCUUGCACUUCUCACCUCCAGAACUGAGACAAUACGUUUCUGCUGUUUAAGCCACCCCGUCUACGAUUCUUUGUUAGGGCAACCCUCACAAACCCAUACAGAAGGUGAGAAAAUUAAUUUAGCCCUCGGUGUACUUUGGUAUUCCAAAAGGACUUCCAAUAUUUUGAACACCCUAAGGCUCAUCUUCCCUGGCAGGGAACUCGGUGUGCUUUGGUGGGGAUGAGGGCGGGUGGGGGGUGGGGUUGGGUUCGACAGUGACUAAAGGAGGCCCCUGAGGCUCCAGCCUGGCCCGCUUAACCAACCGCUGAAUCUUGGGUAAACCAGAACAUAGCGCUGAAGUCUGUGGAGCGUUGUCGCCAUGUGCAGACUGUGGUUAACAAUGGCUAUAACUACCUUCUAUUUAACUUCGUAUAUCUGGACACAAAAAGCGCUUCCAUGUGGGCACACUAAACACUUCAAAAAUGUAGUGCUUUAUGUGUCUCUUUUGCAGACCCUUGACAUGAUUUUGAAUGGAGUUAUGCUCUGUGGACCUGCAAAUUUAAUCCCCCAGUACUCACACCCCUGCCUUUGUCAUCCAAAUGGAAAGCUAAGUGGAAUGAUUCUCAAGUCAGGAGACUUUAUGUUGUGGAGUGGAUUGCUAAGGAAGAAGUCCUGGAUUUCUAGGUGGCCAGCAUAA